GAUGAACGCUGGCGGCGUGCCUAAUACAUGCAAGUCGAGCGAACGGACGAGAAGCUUUCUUUUCUGAUGUUAGCGGCGGACGUGUGAGUAACACGUGGAUAACCUACCUAUAAGACUGGGAUAACUUCGGGAAACCGGAGCUAAUACCGGAUAAUAUUUUGAACCGCAUGGUUCAAAAGUGAAAGACGGUCUUGCUGUCACUUAUAGAUGGAUCCGCGCUGCAUUAGCUAGUUGGUAAGGUAACGGCUUACCAAGUCAACGAUGCAUAGCCGACCUGAGAGGGUGAUCGGCCACACUGGAACUGAGACACGGUCCAGACUCCUACGGGAGGCAGCAGUAGGGAAUCUUCCGCAAUGGGCGCAAGCCUGACGGAGCAACGCCGCGUGAAUGAUGAAGGUCUUCGGAUCGUAAAACUCUGUUAUUAGGGAAGAAAAUAUGUGUAAGUAACUGUGCACAUCUUGACGGUACCUAAUCAGAAAGCCACGGCUAACUACGUG
rnacentral:rRNA from 1 species